GCCAAGUGUGGUGUAAUGGCUUGAACAUUGGACUAUGAUUCUGGACUCCUGGGUUCAAAUCCCAGCUCAGCCA